GCGAAGAGAUGAUAGAAAUUCAUUUGUCUGUCAAUCCGCUGAUAUUCUUUGAUGUUAGUUCAUGGAUCCCAACAGGUUCUGAUCGC